AACGAACGCUGGCGGCAGGCUUAACACAUGCAAGUCGAACGGGUGUAGCAAUACAUCAGUGGCAGACGGGUGAGUAACACGUGGGAACCUUCCUAGGGGUACGGAACAACUCAGGGAAACUUGAGCUAAUACCGUAUACGUCCGUAAGGAGAAAGAUUCAUCGCCCCUAGACGGGCCCGCGUCGGAUUAGGUAGUUGGUGGGGUAACGGCCUACCAAGCCUACGAUCCGUAGCUGAUCUGAGAGGANGAUCAGCCACACUGGGACUGAGACACGGCCCAGACUCCUACGGGGAGGCAGCG
rnacentral:rRNA from 1 species